rnacentral:rRNA from 1 species
UACGGAGGGGGCUAGCGUUGUUCGGAAUUACUGGGCGUAAAGCGUACGUAGGCGGCUUUGUAAGUUAGAGGUGAAAGCCCGGGGCUCAACUCCGGAAUUGCCUUUAAGACUGCAUCGCUUGAAUCAUGGAGAGGUGAGUGGAAUUCCGAGUGUAGAGGUGAAAUUCGUAGAUAUUCGGAAGAACACCAGUGGCGAAGGCGGCUCACUGGCUCGACACUGACGCUGAGGUGCGAAAGCGUGGGGAGCAAACAGG